AUCCGCCUCCUUCAUGUCCCGCUGUGGGAGGGGCUCUGGAGCGCCGGGACUGUGAGAUGGCCAAUGACGGUCUGACCCGUUGGGCCGGGCCAGGUCGCGGACAACGUCGACCGUUUGUUUAAGAAGCGUGGACUCUUGUCCUGAGUGCACCGAGGCUUUCAGCCUGCGGGACAGUGGUGCGAUUUGCAUUAGAGAAAGGGAGAUGCCAUGUGCUGGCCCAGCACUCCAACAGGGGCCUGACCUCUAGGAACGGGACACUGGAGGAAGCCUAGACAUCUGAACAAAUCAAGUCAUCCAGAUCCACGGUCAGCUCCUGCCCCGACUUGGCCUUCCUCCUGCUGGGCUGGCCCACGGACCUCGGGAACCUGCCCUGGCUGUGGGUGACCUGCAGGAUUAUUAAACUUCGGCAAAACGUUUUAAAAGUGUCAUGAGUUCAAGAGGAGUAAUGAUUCAUUGAAAGACCUAUCUCCCAGGACUAUGGAAGCCCCAUGCAGGAACAUGGUUCUGACACUUUGGGGAUUAUACCCUAAGCUUAAAGGACUGGAAAAGCCCCUGAAGUCCCGAGACCACAACCCUCCACCUUCUAAAGAUAAGACAAGUCACUGAAGGUAAAAUCAGCUCCUCAGUGUCUCCAAGGACAGGAAUGCCAUGGGCUGGGAGGCGCCAUGGGUGAACAGACUUCCCUACUUCCUGCCUCCCCAAGGGUGGGGAGCAGUCUAGGGGAUGGCUGUACUCCUGGGCCCAGUGUCUAAGUGAAAAUUAGGAGGAAAUGGAGGGAGGGUGGCGAGCGAGGACAGACUGGCCAAGGUCCCCCGCAGCCACUCCUGAAGUCCUCACGAGGGAGAAGCAGCCUCUCCUUCCAGCCUUCCCCAAGUCCUCCCUAAGAGUGUAUUCUACUGGUUUCUGUGCAGAUUUUUUUCGGCUGCGACCAAUAGUAGCUUAAACAUGGAUUAUUUUCUUUUUAAUUUCUUCCUGCAAAAUUCUUAGGAAACCAUUAAUAAAAGUAAUAUACAUGUGAAAUAAUAA
rnacentral:lncRNA from 1 species